UACGGAGGGUGCAAGCGUUAUCCGGAUUCACUGGGUUUAAAGGGAGCGUAGGUGGCCUUAUAAGUCAGUGGUGAAAUCCUCUGGGCUUAACCCAGAAAUUGCCAUUGAUACUGUAGGGCUUGAGUACAGUUGCUGUGGGCGGAAAUAUGACAUGUAGUGGUGAAAUACAUAGAGAAUGUCAUAGAACACCGAUUGCGAAGGCAGCUCACAAAACUGUAACUGGACAACUGAGGCUCGAAAGUGCGGGGAUCAAACAGG
rnacentral:rRNA from 1 species